ACACAACUUGACUGGUCAUUUCUCCAAAAGACAACCAUGAAGCUCCAUCCAAACCUGAAGCAGGCAGUUGGUGCAUGUGUACAGUAACCUGAGGGGAGUGAGGUGAGUGCUUCUGAGGAGAACAUGAGCAGUGAAGAUUCACCUUAACAUAAUUAAUUCACCUCCUGUGUAGGUGACAGUGAUAUCCAAUAGGCUAGGCACUCACGAGGCUGGCUGUGGCAAGUGUAAGUGAAAGCAACACGCACUGGCAGGAAGAACAGCAAACGCCGAUGAAGGAAAAGGGUCUUUGCAGUGAUGGGCGUUACCAGAGAGGGCGAUGGCCAGAGGACACAAAUGGGACGGGGAGGCAGCGUGUUGGGGGGGGGGACGCGACACGGCUCGGGCCCGCCAGUGCCCCAACGGGGUCCUAGUUUCUUUUUCCUCCCCUUUGAACUGGAAAAUGGCCCACUUCCCACUGGCAAAAACUCAUGAAAUUUGGCAGGACGACCGGGCCUGGUGAAAAAUUCGAUAUUCUGAAGUCGCCCAAACAAUAAAAUGCAAAAUGGCUCCAUAGCGCCCCCUAAGGUGGAAAUUCACACUAUUGACUGUCACGCCUGUACGCUUUGUCAUAUUGACACAAAAAUUGACACACAUAUGUAUCUUAAUAAGAUCUACAAAAAAGUCAGUGCGGCCGUAUCUGUCAAAAUUACGGUUAAAGGGUUAUUUCGCAUUUUUUGCCGAUCCGCACACAUUGGAAUUUCGCUAACUCCUCCGAAGGCUUUCGUUCCACCGGCACCACAUUUGCUCAGGCUAAUCUACACCCCGUGGCCAUUAAAAGUUAUCAAAAUCAUGACGCUGCACCCCAAGGUUUGGGUUCUAGGGGGCGCCAAAGAUAACACUAAAAUCCACAUAUUUAAAAGUCUUUUAACUUUUUAUUUUUGUCCUCACUGGCCUCCAAGUUUUCUAGGAUGAUGCAAUGUCCAGCCAUCAACACAUUUGUGAAGGAAUUUUUACUCCCCAAAAGAGCGCCCCCCCAUGGCAGAAGAAAAAAGUCCAUUUUUUCUUGUCCCCUAAGGUGAAAAUACACAUUGUUGAGUGUCACGCCUAUACGCUUUGUCAAAAUGACACAAAAAUUGACACACACAUGUAACUCAAUAAGAUCUACGAAAAAGUCAAUGCGCGCGUAUCUGUCAAAUGUACGGUUAAAGGGUUAUUCCGCAUUUUUUGCCGAUCCGCACACAUUGGAAUGUGGCUAACUCCUCCUAAGGCUUUCGUUCCACCGGCACCACAUUUGCUCAGGCCAAUCUACACCCCAUGGCCAUUAAAAGUUAUUCAAAUCAUGACGCUGCACCCCACGGUUUAGGUUCUAGGGGGCGCCAAAGAUAACCCUAAAAUCCACAUAUUUAAAAGUCUUAUAACUUUUUAUUUUUGUCCUCACUGGCCUCCAAGUUUUCUAGGAUGAUGCAAUGUCCAGCCAUCAACACAUUUGUGAAGGAAUUUUUACUCCCCAAAAGAGCGCCCCCCAUGGCAGGAGAAAAAAGUCCAUUUUUUCUUGUCCCCUAAGGUGAAAAUACAUAUUGUUGAGAUUCACGCCUAUACACUUUGUCAUAUUGACACAAAAUUUGACAAUCACGUGCCUUGCCUGGUAUCAUUUUUUUCAGCACAACCUCACCUGUGCGAAUUUACAGUUAUUUUAUCAUGUUGACAUACUGAAUUUACACAAUGGACCCAAAUUCACACACAAAACAUAAAAUCCGAGUGGAAAAAAGUAACAUUUUUACUGUGAAAACCACAAAUAUGUGUGAUGAACUGUUUUUAAAACUUAAACUUCAAAUAAAAAUUGUAAACUUCAAAACAUAUGCAAAUUUUUAACAAAGAACAUAGUGAUUUACCUCUAUUUACAUCAAAAUGCAGGCAAUGGCCCAGGCGUUCUUUGUAAAAUUAUUUACAAAACACUGUAUAGUCUCACAAAUAUCACUUUUUAUUUAUGCCACUACAAAAAAACAUGAUGUAAAUGAUGCAUGAUGUAAAACAUGAUGUAAAAAACUUGUGUAGAUCCUCCUCUAUGUCAGUCCAUGUGUAAUUUUUCCAUAAUUCUUUGUUUUUUGCAGCAUUUUUGUUAGUGUAACUGCAGAUUGUGCUGACAGUGUCUAUGGCACUUAAAAAAAAAUAAUUAAAAUGCCUCAACAUGAACCCCUGGUGGUCUCUGAGGGUGAAACCUGCUAACUGCUGCAGCUCUGUCAGCUUCAGUCUCCCAUGCAGAGCUCUGAGCGCAUGUGUGGCUCUGCACCCUUAGCAGCAUUGCUAACUCCUCAGUAAGGAAAGCCUGCUUCAUGUCAGAGUCUCUAAACUCCAGAAGAAGUCGAUAAAAGUCCCUUUCUUUCUAAAAAAAAAAGUCGUUAGGGGGUCUGAAAAGUCAUUGAAUCUAACAACAAAGUCGCUAGGUUUGCAACUACGUGUCCCAGACUGCAUCCCUGCUGAGAGUCCCUCCCUCGCUUCUCAUGUUGCAGGAAGAAAGUAAGCGCCCGCCCCUUGUCAAUCAGUCACCAUAUAAUUUUGGAUUGGUUGUUGUGGUGAAGUUUUCCACCAAUAGGAGAGAUGUUGUGGUGUGUUUUUUUUUUCUUUUGGCAAGCCUUUUCCGCCUGUAAGAGCUGUCGCUAAUGUCUGCAUGCUAUGUUUUCCUGUCUCAUACAGCGCGAUCGAGCGCCGAACGUGAUCAAAAUAAGCAGAAAAAAAGUAUCGCGGACAUAAUUUAUCAUAACUCUGGUUUUAUUUGGCCUAUCAUCACAAUUUAAAAACUGGUAUAUAGGUUGAGGUCCUCACUUUUGAGAUAAGUUGAAACGGAGAGUCAACGAGGCUCCGUCUUGCAGCUACAUCCGGUUAAAUAUGUCAUGUGACUUGAACGCACACACAGACACACACACACGCACACACACACACACACUCAGAGUCUGGUUUUUAGCACCUGCAAAAACAUGCUAUUUACAUAUUUGACAAGAAUGCAGAGGCUCCUUUUGCCCCUGAAAAAAAUCAAAUUUCAAACACAACUUGACUGGUCAUUUCUCCAAAAGACAACCAUGAAGCUCCAUCCAAACCUGAAGCAGGCAGUUGGUGCAUGUGUACAGUUACCUGAGGGGAGUGAGGUGAGUGCUUCUGAGGAGAACAUGAGCAGUGAAGAUUCACCUUGGAGCUAGAACAGAGACAUGCACAUGAUUAUACAGGGGCAGGGGCUCAAGUUUUUUCCAGUCGUUUAUACAAUAUGGAAAUUAAUGUGAAAUUAAAACACAAAGUAUUAAUAGAAAGGUAAUGACUGUCCUGUGUAGGUGACAGUGAUAUCCAAUAGGCUAGGCACUCACGAGGCUGGCUGUGGCAAGUGUAAGUGAAAGCAACACGCACUGGCAAGAAGAACAGCAAACGCCAAUGAAGGAAAAGGGUCUUUGCAGUGAUGGGCGUUACCAGAGAGGGCGAUGGCCAGAGGACACAAAUGGGACGGGGAGGCAGCACAUUGGGGGGGGGACGCGACACGGCUCGGGCCCGCCAGUGCCCC